rnacentral:miRNA from 12 species
UUGUGUGCCUUGCCCUGACAGUUCCCUGAUGGUCCCUUCUCUUUUGUCUUCACAGCAGCAGCAGCAACAGCAGCAGCAACAACAACAGCAGCAGCAACAGCAGCAGCAGCA